rnacentral:rRNA from 1 species
CCUACGGGGGGCAGCAGUUAAGAAUCUUCUACAAUGCGCGCAAGCGUGAUAGAGCGAGCCAGAGUGCUUCUCACUUUGAGAAGCUUUUGCUAAAUCUAAAAAGUUUGGCGAAUAAGGACCGGGAAAGAUUGGUGCCAGCCGCCGCGGUAAUACCAACGGUUCAAGUCGCAGCCACAUUUAUUUGGUCUAAAACAUCCGUAGCUUGUUUUGUAAGUCUUUUGUGAAAUCCGGCUUCUUAAGAGUCGGGCGUGCAAGAGAUACUGCUUAGCUAGAGACCGGGAGACGUAAGGAGUACAUAGGGGGUAUCAGUAAAAUGAGUUGAUCCUCUGUGGACUAACAACAGCGAAGGCACCUUACGAGAACGGAUCUGACAGUAAGGGAUGAAGGCUAGGGUCGCGAAAGGGAUUAGAUACCCCAGUAGUC